UAAGAUUUAAGAUUGCUCUGAUUUGAAAACAAGUAAUAAUUCUUAAUCUGAGUUUCGUGACUUUGAGAAACAAGAAUAUUUUCUAGUAGAAUACAAUAAUGAUUUUAAAAUUUGAGGUACUGAAAAUGCAGUUUUCACUUAGAGUUUCAGCAGAGUUCUAGCACAGAACACAAUUAACCAGGACUUUUUAAAAAAAAUUAAACUUGUAAUUUUGAGGUAAUUGUCGAUUCACCUGCAGUUGUAGGAAACAAUACAAAGAGACCCUUUAUUUCCCCCACACCACCUGUGGUAACAUUGUACAAAACCAUGGUGCAGUGUCACAGCCAGGUGUGAUAUUAUCAUAACCAGCUGCAGUAACCAGGGUAUUGACAUGGAUAUAGUCAAGUACAGUUCAGUCCCCUUAACACAAGGCUCCUCUCUGAGUUCCCCGUUUAUAGCCACACCUCCUCCCUCCCAUGUCUGACCUCUGGCAACUAUGAUUCUGUUUAGUUUCUAUAAUCGGUCAUUUCCAGAAUAGAAUCAUGCAGCAUUUAAUCUUUGAGGAGAGUCUUUUUUUUUCCCUCAGCGCAAUUGCUCCAUGACUGAUUCAUGCAUGAAUCAAGAGUUCAUUCCUUUUUCUUGCUGAGCUGUAGUCCAUGGUGGGGAUGUAGCAAGGUCUGCUUUACCAUUCACCCACUGAAGGACAUUUGAGCUGUUUCUCAUUUUGCCUGUCUAAUAAAAAUGCAAGCAGGACUUUUAAAAAAACAGUUAUUGAUGUGCUUAUGAUUGUAUCUUAUUACAGAGUAUUUAUUGGCUGGGUAGAGUAAGAUUAAAGGUUUAGAUUCAUUAGGACUAAAAUAAAUGUUAUGAACUAUGACAGUCUAGCACAAAAUAGCUUGAUUUCGUAAAUGUAGUUUAUUUAUGUAUUUAAUCAAACUUAAGCUUAUUAUUGGCUAAUGUCCAUCAAUACAAUUUAUUAGUGGUUAUACUAUGCCUGUGCUUUCAUUUCUGUUCUCAACCUAAAUAAUUGCUCAAAAUGCACUAUAAAUAUUCACUUGUAUUAGCAUUGCGCACACAUCUUACUGUGUUUCUAGCAAUGUGAUGGCACAUGAUCGUGUUGAUUUUUCACUGUCAAGCCCAAUUGUUGGAUGUUUAAAAACAUUAAAUACCCAUGUGCAAUCAGGAGUCUCUGACGAAGAGCCUUAAUUAAAUAAACAUUGCAUUGCAUUAUGAACAGAAGUGCCAGCGCUGGAACAAUCUGUGAAGUUUACAGCUUAUUGAUGGAUGGUAGGUAAUUAGUUGAGGGACACUCAGAAACACGUGGCUCUGCUGGCAGGGAGUAGGGAAGACCUGUCUGUAUCCCACCAAAUAUCUGUGUGCAUCUGCUCACACUGCCACGUUAGCCCUGGAGGGGACCGAGAAGCAGGGUGACUUCUUUUAGUUCCAGUCCUGGGGACCAGCCCAGAUGCACAGGGAGGGGAAAUGAACGCUGCCACGCGGGCGGGCUCCACUGUGGUUUUCCAGCAACCUACUGGGCAUCCUACGGUUCAGCUACAUUCUGACAUCAACUACCUGCAGUUAGUGCAGAUCCCACAAGUUAAGGGCUAAGUCCCCCACCUCAGACACCAGCCACAGGUGAAGUAUCCCCAAGUUAUCCACACGCAGGAAUGUGCAGUCCUACAGGAUCACAGUUUACUGGAAAGACCAUGAAUGAACAUCCAGAUGAAGAGGGAAAUGGGGUGAGGGCUGGAAGGAUCCAGAGAGCAGAAAUUUCUA